rnacentral:misc_RNA from 1 species
AACGCACCUUGCGCUCUAGGGUUAUUCCUUAGAGCAUGCUUGUUUGAGUGUCUCGUACCCCUCCACCCCACUGGGAUUUAUUUCCGGUUGUUUAGGGCUUGGAAUCGUGGCGUUUGUUGGGCUCUUGCGGCCUUUAAAACUGCGCUGAAAUACAAAAAGCUGAAUCAUAACGUGCGGCUUGACCUGUUGUCAUAAACUAACUUCAAUGGGAACGCAUGCUUUUGAACGAGCUUACCAGAAAUGUUUGCAAAAACACAGUGCAUUUUGACCUCAAAUCAAGUAGGACUACCCGCUGAACUUAA